CAGUCGCCACGGUAAUACGUAGGGUGCGAGCGUUAAUCGGAAUUACUGGGCGUAAAGCGUGCGCAGGCGGUUCGUUAAGACAGAUGUGAAAUCCCCGGGCUUAACCUGGGAACUGCAUUUGUGACUGGCGAGCUAGAGUAUGGCAGAGGGGGGUAGAAUUCCACGUGUAGCAGUGAGAUGCGUAGAGAUGUGGAGGAAUACCGAUGGCGAAGGCAGCCCCCUGGGCCAAUACUGACGCUCAUGCACGAAAGCGUGGGGAGCAAACAGGAUUAGAUACCCCCGUAGUCCCUGUCUCUUAUAC
rnacentral:rRNA from 1 species